UAGGGAAUCUUGGACAAUGGGCGAAAGCCUGAUCCAGCCAUGCCGCGUGAGUGAUGAAGGCCUUAGGGUUGUAAAGCUCUUUCGCCAGGGAAGAUAAUGACGGUACCUGGAUAAGAAGCCCCGGCAAACUUCGUGCCAGCAGCCGCGGUAAUACGAAGGGGGCUAGCGUUGUUCGGAAUUACUGGGCGUAAAGCGCACGUAGGCGGCUUUCCAAGUUGGAGGUGAAAUCCCCGGGCUUAACUCGGGAACUGCCUCCAAAAACUGGACGGCUCGAGUCCGAGAGAGGUGAGUGGAAUUUCCAGUGUAGAGGUGAAAUUCGUAGAUAUUGGAAAGAACACCAGUGGCGAAGGCGGCUCACUGGCUCGGUACUGACGCUGAGGCGCGACAGCGUGGGGAGCAAAACAGGAUUAGAUACCCUGGUAGUCCACGCCGUAAAACGAUGGGUGCUAGUUGUCAGGCAGCUUGCUGUUUGGUGACGCAGCUAACGCAUUAAGCACCCCGCCUGGGGAGUACGGUCGCAAGAUUAAAAACUCAAAUGAAUUGACGGGGUCAUAGCUGUUUCCU
rnacentral:rRNA from 1 species